GCUUAUUGGUAUAAUAUUGUUAAAGUUGGUAUAAAUUGUUAAAGUUUUCCCUUUUUACAUUUAAUUUUCACUUAGUCGAAAUUAAUGUUGGUGCGUGACGUAAGGCAGUGGUGUGCUGGGCCAGGCUUAACAACUGUCGCUGUGGGAGAGGAAGCCUUGAUUUGUAACAUUUGCUAAUUUCUGUGGUGUAAAUACACACAUGUGGUGAAUUUCAAGCUCCCACUGAAUGCAGAGAAGGGAAGGAUGUAGACAGUUGGCUUGGGCUCCAGCACCCCACAGGAUAAGCUGAAGAACGGCAAUGGUUUCUGGUCUAUCUACUCGGCUCCGCCCACCAGCUAAUCCUGAGGCAGCUUCCCAAGGACCAGGCUUGAUGGAGGCAGGAGGCAGGAAGCAGCUGCUGGAACAAUUCUAGAUGGGCGUUCGGGCGACUCGGUUUCACUGCACACGGCCGAUCUCUGUGGCUCCUUGUUUGAGCGCUUUUUAUAUAAGAAAAGACAAACAUGCUGGAGAACCGGCACCCCACCCACACCACUGGGGCCUCUGAUACCAUGGCAACCACAACCUCCAGGUCAAACCCAGGCGUCCCGCGGGUUUGGACAGUGUUCUCAGAAGGGGCCUCUGCCCGCUCGCAGCCCGCUCCUGCCUCGCUGUGCCUCGCCGUCUUUUUGCAAUUUCUCCUGAGCCGGGGAGUUUCCCUGACCUGAAUCUAGCCUGUUGCCGUCACAUCACCACCCAGGUCUCAGGGAUCCAGCGGGAUCAGCGCGAGGACCAGAGGAAAGCGCUCUCAGGAGGGCUGUUCAGCGCCAGGAUUGAAGGACGGUGUCACCGUGAGUGGGACCUGUGCUUCUCAGGGCAGCGCCAGGAGCAUGCGCGAUGGCGAUCAGGGCUCAGCUCCCUCUGCAGAAAGGUAAAACAGGCCAGUGGAGUGCUCGUAGCACCUGUGUGCCGCUGCUGGUACGCCUGGUGAUCCCCCGGCUACUUGCUACCCAUGAGGAGGAAGGCCACCCCAUCACAGAGGAAUCACUCCCAUCCUUGAAUGAGCGGUCCAGGAGAACAAUGGUGGCGUGACCGGAUAGACAUCCAGUCUUGGUUCAGGAUAGCAGAGACCGGAGAUGCCUCCUGCAUUCAUGUAAGCCACAAAAACGGGUAUGUCUUAGGGAGACUGGCUUUGUGAAGAGGCAAAAUAGAUCUUUGGCCACCUGGAACAGCAUCAGGAGGGUGGGAAAGGAACAGCUUCUCCUCCAAAACAACACCUAUUGAGUCCUAAAAUUUCACCAUUAGUGACUCAUUCCUUUGCUUUUGUUCUCUGUUCUCUUUUAAAAUAAAAGUUUUUUUUUUUUUUUUUUUGGGAAAAGUAACAUGGUAAAUGUCUAUACCUUGGAAUAAAUUGAGAAAUUUGCUGGGAACUGGGCCCUGGAAGUAACGAGGGCCUUGUGGGAGAGGGAGCAGGUCUGAUGGGAAGAAUGGGAGCCGCCAAGAGGAAAGGCAGAAGGGAAAAAUGGGAGGAGGCCAGGAGCAGGGCCACUGGAGAGAGAGCAGCAGAGCUAACCAUAUGUCUAUGGAAACGUUCCUGGGGAGCCGGAGUCUCCGGCAUGUAAGUCCCUUUUCAAGCAACACGCCGCCCUGCUCGGCCUUGUCCUGUUUGCCUUUAUCGUUUCAGAUAAAUUUACUUCCCUUUUGAGCCAUCUCAUGAAAGAUCCACCUCCCCAAGUGGGAGAGGAUUGGAAGUGCAGUUACAAAUUGCUGACACUGGGAACUCUGCUUCUUGUCCCCAUGAAUGAGGUCUGGGCACUUGUCAUUUUACGCUCAGGCCUGGCCUUGAAGAUUAUGCGCUCACUGUGACCUGGGGGACCGACCACAUGGCCGCCAAAAAGAGCAAAACAGAAUGGGGGGUUCCAUGUCUGUAGGGCAGGAUGACAAUGGGCUGGGGUUGGAAGCAGGCAACCCUGGGCUAGAAAUGAAUCAGAGAUGCCACACUCACUCCCCUGGCCCGAGGGGACACUGGGGCGUAGAAGUCAGAUUGUAGGGAUUGCCUUGAUGUCAAGUGGGAGAGAGCCGGGGUCCAUUUCCUACCUGAUCCAGGACAGAGAGCAGAGGCAGCCUCGGAACAACAACUUUGUUCAGUGUUUCCCGGAGGGAAUCCAAUCUGGUGGUCCGGGAAUCUUGCUCUGCGCUCAUUUGAGAUGAGAAGAGAGAUGCCCAGUGUUUAUUCUUCACGGCUAUGUCACGGGAAGUUUGUGCCAGACCAAGACAUGUUUAUGUUUAAGCAGUGUAACUGUUAAUGACAAUUAACUACAGGUGCUUCUGUGCAUUUUUCAGUUGAGUCCGUGUUUUCUAUGCUUAGCAUUUGUCAACGACUUUGUGGGCAAAAUUGUUACACAAAUCUCCAAAUAACAAACCUGUGAGGCUCCAAAUGUUUAUUUGCAUGUCAGCUGUUUGUAACUUAGGAGACAUUUUCUCAUGGAAAAUAUUAGCCCUGGUCAGGUUCUCAGGCUAGCUCACUCGGGUGAACUAAUAAAUCGGAAUAGGGUACCUUAUAUUUGUAGUUUAUCUUUAAAAUGUCUUCAUAUCAAACGCAGAAAUACAUAAAUACAGACAUAAAUGCAAGAACAAAAUGUUCAGUGCUACUAUGGUCUGAAUAGGGAUGUGUGGCUGGCCUGAGACCCCAGCUCCUGUUAAGCAUUAUUUUGAGAUUAGAGGGAGCAGCGAAUUCUGUCUCCACCCUGCUUUUGUCCCAGAGGGCUCACCGGACGCCCCCCCGACCCCAAAUCGGGGCAGACCGUGGUUUAGGUGUUCUGUUAUUUUCAAAUUUUUGUGUAACAUGCACAGUCAAUUUUCUUUUUUCAGAAGGAAACUGGUUCUAAGAAUGGUUAAGCAUCUUAGAGUAACAACCGCUAUUUUUGGUUGAUUUAAAUUCUAAACGCAGGAUCCUUACUUCUCCCAGGAAUUAGGGAUCCUGCCUAUUUUCUAGCCGCUCCCUGAUAAGAUGCGUUUUCUUCCAGUCUCUGCAGCUCAGUUGCUCUAACGGUGUCUGAGUCCCUGAGUUUGAAGUUUGUGAUUCAGACUCCAGACUGGCCUGAGUUUUCGGUCACAGUCUCCAGACGUGGGACUGGAGUUUUCCAUGCUCCCCACUUGCCCAGACUAAUCUUGAUUCAGAGAGUUAGUGGACAGGGUUGAAAGUCAAUAGCCAGCAUUUUAAAAUCCUAGUCCUCAGCAUCCUUUUCUGAAUCCCUACAUCGGGACCGCUUCCCAUGAAUCUAUGAUGGUUUUGUGUUCAAGUCCAAGCUUCGACAGCAAGUAAAGAUAAACCAACCACUGCCUAGAGAUUCAGCCAAAGAAAAGCAGCAACUGUAUUGGAAAUUUGCCAGAGGAAACUGUCCUCUAACUGCCGUCAGGAUGUGUAAACAGCAACUACCAUCCCAGAAACCAGCCUCGGGAUGGACCUUCAGAGGAAGAAUGUCAACAACCAGGCAUCAUCUUGUGGAGGACCCCUCCCCACUUCAUCACGACAGCGGCUGCCCCUCUGUCUCCUGAAUCAAGGCCCCUGAGCUUGCACAAUUCCUAUUAGAUGGAGGUAAACGCAGCUCUGAGAUGACUCAUCCCCUAGGCGUGAAGUCCAAAUGAUGAACCCCAGGAAUUUCUAGGUAGGGAGCUGAAAGCGGGAAAAUGGAAGCAGAGGAAAUGACACUUCACAUGUACAACUCUGGCAAGUUUCUAGGAAAAGCACCAAACCAGCUGUGAAUGCACUCAAGUCUGGUCUUAUGGAGGUGAGUUUGGGCCAAUCACAGAAUCCUGGGUUCAGGCUUCUUAAUCUGUACUAGGGGCAACGCUGGACACACUUACCCGGGCCAGGGAGGCACAAAACUGGGUGGGAAAGCUGCGUGGGGACUGGGGCGUCUAAAGGGCCAAUUGUUGACCCGUGCGGUGCAGCAUCUAUGUGCGUUCCAGCCAUGUAGCCCUCUGCACUACAUACAGUGCAAUCACCUGUGUAGCGAUUGUAUUAUUAAUUUCUGUGAUUCAUUUCUUAUUCAUCUGUUAUUAUUUCAUCUCAGACUUUUAUUGCUUAAUUUAUCUCAAAGUCUCUUUAAAAGUGUUCUGAUUUUCAUUUCAUCUGGAGUGAAUUCAUGCUCUGAAGGUUGACUGCGUUGGCAGUUUCUCUGUUAGUUUUCUUCACGGACGAGAGUUUUUGGUCACUGUCUCGUCUUGAGUGGGGCAUUCUCUCUUUUGCUCUUGGGCUGUCGAUUCUCCUCCCUGCUCACCUCUCUCUGUCUUGCAGGUUUUCAGUUGCUUCCACCCAGCCUCCCAGGGUCCCUGGUCCAGAACCAGCCCAUAUAAUGGUGGCUCAGGCUCUUCCCCUGGUGACGUUGGGGACAUCACAGAUCUGGUUACUGGGACUCAGGUGGCUUGUGUCGGGUUCUGGUCCAAGGCUGUGUCUGUAUUUCCUGUGUCCACCAGCCUGCAGCUGUGUAUAAACCACUGCCCAGCACGGUGCUCAGUGAGGGCUUAGCCUUCGGUCCCAGGGCUCCUGGUUCAAGUUCCAGGGCUGAUCCAUGAUGCUGCCUUAGAGAACGGAACCCUGCUACCCGGAGGAACCCAACUGAGGACACUUCUGCCAGCUUCUGAACCUCAAGAACUUUGAGCCUUUGUUCCAUCACUGUGCUACGGAGCCUUCGUUUUAAUCAAACUUUUUUUUUUUGAGGUAAUUGUAGGUUGACAUAGAGUUGUAAGAAAUAACACAGAGAGAUCUGUGUGCCCUUUACCCAGUUUCCCACAGUGGUAACGUCCUGCACAACUGCUUUUCAUAAGCCUACUUGCCAACUGUCUGUCCUCUUCCAUGAAAUGCCUCUUCAUUUCUUUCGUCCAUUUUAUAAUUGGGCUGUUUGUUCUGCUUAGCUUUUUUCUUCCUGUUGUUUUGACAAUUUUUUAUGUAUUCCAGACAUCAGUCCUUUGUCAGAAGGUGGUUUGCAAAUAUUUUCCCUUUUUCUGUAGCUUGUCUUAUCCUCUUAACAGGGCUUUUCACAGAGCAAAAGCUACUCAUUUUUAUGAAGUCCAGCUUAUCAAUUUUUUCUUUUAUAGAUUAUGCUUUUGCUGUCGAGUCUGAGAACACUUCAGGCCUGGAUCCUGAAGAUCUUCUCCCAUAUUUUUUCCCUAAAGUUUUACGGUUUCCAUCUAAGCCCACAAUCCAUUUUUGUGUCAAGCGUGGGAAUUAGGUUGAGGUUUAUUUUUCUCGGUUAUGAAUGUCCAGUUGCUCCAGCACCGUUUGUAGAGAAGGCCGUCCUUCCUCCGUUCAAUUCCCUCUGCGCCUUGGUCAAAAUCAGUUGGGCGCGUUUGUGCGGGUCUGCUUCCGGGUUCUCUAUUCCGUUCCGUGGAUCGGUGCAUCCAUCUCCAGCGGCUCCACACAGUGCUGGCCACUGCAGCCACGCUGCAAGUCUCGAAACCGGUUCGUGGGUUCUUUGCACUGGCCAGAACUUCCAGCACCGUGUUGAACAGAAGUGGUGAGAGAGCACACCUCUGCUUGCUCCUGAUCGCCAUGGGAGCAUCCGGUCCUUCAUCCGUCAGUGUAGUAGAGCCGACCAAGAGGUUCCUGGGAAAUAGCUCACUGUUUCAUCACUGAUAGUCACAUUGGACAACAGCUGAACCACACGACCCUGCGCUGGGAGUCACAGAGGGUGAAACAGAAAAAGGAGACCCCACUUUCUGCCCCAGGGAGCCUGGAGAAGGAGAACGGUACUGCAGUCAGCAAAACGGGAUUGUGGGCCGGGCCUGCAUUUCCCAUGCAAUUCUAUUUGUAAGUCACAGAAGUUGAUACUUUUAUUCCUGUUCAGGACUAACAGGGAAGAAGCAGUAGGGCCAAACUCUGGACAACACUCUUUAUAUGUGAGGACCGUGCUAGGUCACCUGCCGCAUGUCACAUAUGAGGACAGCGCUCAAUCACUUGCCGCAUGUUACCUGUGAGGAUUGUGCUCCAUCACCUGCUGAGUGUGUUACCUGUGAGGACUGUGCUCCAUCACCUGCUGCGUGUGUUACCUGUGAGGACUGUGCUCCAUCACCUGCUGCGUGUGUUACCUGUGAGGACUGUGCUCCAUCACCUGCUGCGUGUGUUACCUGUGAGGACUGUGCUCCAUCACCUGCUGCGUGUGUUACCUGUGAGGACUGUGUUCCAUCACCUGCUGCGUGUGUUACCUGUGAGGACUGUGCUCCAUCACCUGCUGCGUGUGUUACCUGUGAGGACUGUGCUCCAUCACCUGCUGCGUGUGUUACCUGUGAGGACUGUGCUCCAUCACCUGCUGCGUGUGUUACCUGUGAGGACUGUGUUCCAUCACCUGCUGUGUGUGUUACCUGUGAGGACUGUGCUCCAUCACCUGCUGCGUGUGUUACCUGUGAGGACUGUGCUCCAUCACCUGCUGCGUGUGUUACCUGUGAGGACUGUGUUCCAUCACCUGCCGCAUGUUACCCGUGAGGACUGCACUCAUUCACCUGCUGUGUGUUGCGUGUUUGGGGACUGCCAACAUACCAUCUUACUGUCUGUUUCCCUAGGUCCAGUGUUAACUCCACACCGAUGUUUAGAAUUCUCUUCUAGAAAGACAUUUAGUUGGCUAACAGGAGACAACCCUGGGGUAAAACAAAACAGGAAAAUGUAGGAGCUAAUGUCCCUCGUGUGAGGGACCCUGGGCAAGUCAUUGGGCAACACUGCUCUGAAUUGUAUAGAAACGUCAAGAAUCUUAAUGUCCCAGCGAGGCAUCAUGACGUCUGUGGAGCUGGGCACAGGGGGCGCAUUCAACAAAAAGGGGAGAAGAUGCACCAAAGGGAAACUUUACAUGUUUCACCCAGUGCUUGCCCUGGAAGGAGACGCUUGAGCUUAGGGUGUCACAAAUGAAAACCUUUUUAAAAGUCCACUAACCAGUGCAGAGGUGUCGGGAGAGUGUCUUUCCCAGGCAGGCUCUGUGUGGAAAUCCAAGGCACUGAAAAUAGUACAGAAUUCAGCAGGGGAGAGCCAGGCCCUGGGAAUAAGGGCAGAGAGAUCAGCGAGAGGCGAAAGUCAAGGAUGGCUUCCUGGAGAAGCAGGGGCUGUCCCGGGGCUUUGGUUAUGAGACCACUAAAGGGAAAUACCUUUAGAAUAGACUGAGGGAAAAAACCUGCAAAGGGACCACAGGAAUCCCCUAGUAUAUAAAAUACUUUCCCAGAGAAAAGAGUCAUUAAAAGUUUAAGAUUUGUUCCAUUCAAGAGCUUCAGUAUGCAUUUACUCUGAUGAGUAAAUUAAUGUUUUGGGGGGGGGGGGUUUAAGUAUUUGUUUACAAAUUCUU